rnacentral:rRNA from 1 species
GAGUUUGAUCGUGGCUCAGGAUGAACGCCGGCGGUGUGCCUAAUACAUGCAAGUCGUACGCACUGGCCCAACUGAUUGAUGGUGCUUGCACCUGAUUGACGAUGGAUCACCAGUGAGUGGCGGACGGUGAGUAACACGUAGGUAACCUGCCCCGGAGCGGGGGAUAACAUUUGGAAACAGAUGCUAAUACCGCAUAACAACAAAGGCCACAUGGCUUUUGUUUGAAAGAUGGCUUUGGCCAUCACUCUGGGAUGGACCUGCGGUGCAUUAGCUAGUUGGUAAGGUAACGGCUUACCAAGGCGAUGAUGCAUAGCCGAGUUGAGAGACUGAUCGGCCACAAUGGAACUGAGACACGGUCCAUACUCCUACGGGAGGCAGCAGUAGGGAAUCUUCCACAAUGGGCGCAAGCCUGAUGGAGCAACACCGCGUGAGUGAAGAAGGUUUCGGCUCGUAAAGCGUCUGUUGUUGGAGAAGAACGUGCGUGA